CUCUUAUCCCGAGCUGGUGGAGGGUCAAGGCCCUGUGAAGCCCGGCAACCUGCAUUUGUAUUGGAAAUGAUAAAUGCGAUGGUGCCAACCUGAUGCAAGGACAUGACAAGUUCCUUGAACGAUAAGAG
rnacentral:ncRNA from 2 species